UACGUAGGGUGCGAGCGUUGUCCGGAAUUAUUGGGCGUAAAGAGCUCGUAGGCGGUGUGUCACGUCGGCCGUGAAAACCUGCAGCUUAACUGUGGGCGUGCGGUCGAUACGGGCAUCACUGGAGUUCGGCAGGGGAGACUGGAAUUCCUGGUGUAGCGGUGAAAUGCGUAGAUAUCUGGAGGAACACCGGUGGCGAAGGCGGCAUCCUGGACCAACACUGACACUGAGGAGCGAAAGCCAGGGGAGCAAACGGG
rnacentral:rRNA from 1 species